GAGUAAGAGUCGCAUGCAAAAUAGAUACUCGAUAAUAGAUACUCUCGGGUAUUGUACAACUUUUGCUUUUGAGUGGUGGCGUAUGGCUCCAAAUUUACAUAGUGUCUUGCAGGGUGCACAAAACUAAAAAAUACCUAGUUAUAACUACAGUGAAAGUGUCAAUUCCAAACAAAAAUACACACGCAACAAUCAUUUUGGGGUGAGUCCUACAGAAUCACAACUGAAAGGCGCAAAUUUAUGAACAGCAGUUAGAAGGUUUAGCCAAUACAGGCCUAAGAAUAUUCUGUACCUCCUUUUAUCGUUUGCUUCCGCUUGCAAAGUCACAUCCCUAUUUUUUGCCACCGAAAUGGGUAACGAUGUUUCCGUUAUUAUUCAGCAGCGAUAAUUCAUAACACCAGGUAGGCGCCACGUUUCAGGCAUUCACGAAUUUUCGAAAGAAAGAGUUCAAUUAGUUUUAGAUGAUAUACUAGUUAGGACGUUUAUUAGACACCUCGAAAAUGGAAAGGAUAAAUAUUUGCUGCGCGAUUGUUUUAUGUCUUGGAUUAUGCAGUGUGAGUCAAGCAUUAGAAUGCACGACCCGAGGAAGGUUCCCGAAUGACGAAACAGAUGACUGCCGAGGCUACACAAUGUGCCUCAUGGGGGGACUAACAAAUUUCACUCAAUACAAACUCCUUUGUCCCAUGGGAUCCGUAUACAGCCAUUUGGAACAGCAGUGCACGAACGCAACGAAUUAUAAAUGUUAUCCAACUUACAAUUGUACAAGUACAGGCAACUUUGCUUAUCUCGAAAAAGAUGAUUGUUCUUCCUAUGUAGCUUGUAUCCAAGGAUUGGGUAAUCUGGGUACGGCUCGGUUAAUUGAGUGCCCUCAAAGUAUGCUUUUUAAUCCCGAAGUUGGUGUUUGUGUGAAUAGCACUGAAUAUGCUUGUAUUCGUGAGGUAAUUGUAAAUAGCUCGAGCAAUGUAAAUAGUUCAUAUCAAUUGUUCCUGUUUUGUUGUUAUGUUCUGUUUAUUAUGUUUUAUAUAAAUUAAAAAAUAAUUUUCAAUA